CCAUGAUGUUUGGAUUGCCGACUAAUGAGACACCAGUCGACAAAAUUCUCGCCUAUUAAAUGAAAUACUGGUGAUAUGAUGUGGCGUGUGGUCGUACAGCCAAGAAGCGUUCCGAAUGAAGGGAAAGAUGGCGGUUCUUUUGGAAGACGGAAAAUCCCUGUUUAAGGAUACAAGUUACAACAAAGCGCCGGUGCUGGGACUUGAACUUAAGAGACCCUUUGGUCAUUCAGUCUUCGCCCUGCCACUAAACCACUGUGUCUUCGAUAAAGUCAUAAUAUCUUAUAUACAAAAGAUGUAGAACAGGCUUACACAUUAAUGCCUCUUAGACACUGCUGAAUUUUAGUUGUUAUGAUGGACUAAUUACCUAGCAUGGACUUUAUUAUAUAUAUAUAUAAUGAAGGUCCUUACAUUUCUAAUUGCCGUAGCAAUCGUCAGCAGUGUGCUACCUUACCAAUGUUGUAACUGUGGUAAAUAAAUUUAAGUAUGGCUGUG